AGUCACUGACAUUAGAUACCCCGGUAGUCCCAGCCGUAAACAAUGUGCGUUAGGUGUGUCGGUAACCACGCGUUACUGAUGCGCCGAAGAGAAAUCGUGAAACGCACCACCUGGGAAGUACGGUCGCAAGGCUGAAACUUAAAGGAAUUGGCGGGGGAGCACCACAACAGGUGGAGCCUGCGGUUUAAUUGGAUUCAACGCCGGACAUCCCACCGGAUAAGACAGCUGAAUGAUUGUCAAUCUGAAGGUUUUACAUGACUAGCUG
rnacentral:rRNA from 1 species